UACGUAGGUGGCAAGCGUUGUCCGGAUUUACUGGGUGUAAAGGGCGUGUAGACGGGAUGUAAAGUCAGAUGUGAAAUGCCGCAGCUCAACUGUGGCACUGCAUUUGAAACUUAUGUUCUUGAGUGCGGGAGAGGAAAGCGGAAUUCCUAGUGUAGUGGUGAAAUGCGUAGAUAUUAGGAAGAACACCGGUGGCGAAGGCGGCUUUCUGGACCGUAACUGACGUUGAGGCGCGAAAGCGUGGGGAGCAAACAGG
rnacentral:rRNA from 1 species